AGCCAUGGCUUGUUUGCAGGCUCAGAGAGCUGACAACACAUCUCUAUGUGUGUGUUGUAAGCCUAAUGGAUUUGGUCACUGAACCCCACAGAAAUCUCAGUUUACCUGCUUUGCUUUAUUUUUAACUGAAAGUUUUUGCUGGAAGAAUUACACAAAGGUGGUGAAUGGUGCUAGAGCUGGGUUACACCUUUGUGAAAAAGAUAGUUCAGGGGCAUCUUUCAUUUUCAAUGGUUGCAAGAGGCAUUAAGCAUGUGUCAUUGUCCUCCCCUCCACUCCUCACAAAAGGCAGACUGACUGUUUUUCAGGGAUUCAGCUGCUCUGCAUGGCAGUGUCUGGGCUGAAUGUUGUUUCACAGGUGUGGUGAGUAUGUUUGUUGCUGUAGGAAAAAAAAAAGCAGAGGUGUACUGGGAAUAACAGAGCUCACAGAAGCAGAAGAAAGUUUGAAUGGAGUCUGAUUAUUAUGUGGUUUUGGCAAAAUAUUUGAGUCAGUUUUGGGUCGGAGUGUCGACCUAAGGAGGUUUGGAGUAAAGGGUAGGGAAAUAGCUGUUUGUGUUUUGUUUUGGUUUUGUUUUGUUGUUGGGGUGUUGUUUCUUUGUUUUUGUUUUGUUGUUGUGGUUUGGUUUGGUUUUGGUUUUGGGUUUUUUUUUUUUUUGUUCCUCCUGUGUUUAAAGAAGCAGGGUUUUGUAUAACCUUCCAAAUAAAGAGAAUAGCAGCAGAGACACCUGAUUGCGUCACCUGUUUCGCCUCUUAACUGGAAUGAGCCAGAAGAGUUUGAAUUUUCAUUAACCAGUCAGCCUAGAGGGAUAAUAAGGCAUUUUACAGAAACCAGAGAGACAGGCAGGAUGGCCCAAUUCUGUUUGCAGUGCUCCCACUGUUUUGCGAGGAGAUUUGACUUUUUUUUUUUUUAUUUGAUGUCUGAGUUUCCAGUGGUGAAAGGGAGAGGUUUGGAGUGGCACCAAGCUGCACCGAGAAAUACUUCUGAGCUUGCAAGCGAGCUCUGUGAAAUGACGUCCAUGCAUUUUUCGGGAGGACCCUCACAACUGCAAGUCAGCCUUGACUAGAGUUGAAGUGUGGCAGACGGUGUCUUAAUUUGUGUUAUUUUAGGUAACAUUCUCUUCCUGGAUCACCCAAAUUCUAUGCUCGUAAGUCUACUUUCAGAACAGCCAUGCCAGGCUCUGGCCAGGGUGGGGGGAGGAAGGGGUGAGGAGGCUGGUUACCCAGUGCAGCAAAGCAAAUCCCCAUGCAUCCAAGAGCAUCCCACAGAGGAGAGAGAAAGGGUGCUUCAAAGAGAUAAUCCUCAAAAAGCAGUAGUUCAUGAGUUCUCCUAUGAGAGUAAUUUUAUUUCUCAAACAGAAAGGUGAAAAAAGCCCUACCUAGAUUUAUAACCCAGACAGAGUCACUGUCUCUCUCUUCUUCUGGGUUUUUCUUUCUUUUUUUCUUCUACUGUAUAAUGGAAAAGCAUGUUAGGCCUAGAGCUCAGACGUGGGAGUCUGCGAGAGAAUGGCAGCUCCAAGACGGUAAGUGGAGGUGACAAGUUCGCAGAAAUAUUAAACAUUGACACUGAAUAUUUUGUUGGUAUUUAACUCUGGGAUGUUAUGUGUUACUGAGCAGAAACAGAACAUCCCCCCUCGCCCCCGCUAUAUUGUUCUUUACUCCUCUGCUCUGUACAUUCAGAAGGCAGGGAUGUGAGAUGCCAGCUCCUUCAGGGUUGAAGUGGCUUUAUAUAAAAUAACAGGGAGGGCAAGCUUAUGAAGUGGAAACAGGAUCUAAUUCUGUACUCUGCUGAGACUGUGACUUGAAGAUGGGGAAUACUUUGUGUACCAGAUUUUGUUCAUCUUCUGGUUCGUUUUGGGAGAAUGAGAGCUCUGUUCUGAGUGAGCAAGCUUUUUGAGAAGCAGCAGCACAAAACCACUUAUGCCUUGAGGGUGGGCUGAAGAGUGGUGGUGUCAGGUGAUGCACUGAGGAUAGGAGAGAUCUUUCCUUCUACAUUUUUUUUGUGGAGCAUCUGUCUGAUUCUGCAGUGGCUACAGACUGAAUAAACAGGGCAGUUUAGAAGGCAACCUCUGAAACGCCACUAUCGGCCCCCUGAGACCUUAACCAGAGCUGCUGGGCAUUCCCUUCCCAGGCGGUCUUGCUGCUGCCCAGUUUGCAGACUGUGCUUUCCAGUGCUGACAGAAGGAUUGUAUGCUUCAUCGUCAAACACUGGGCAAGACCUGGGAGCACUUGCAUUGAGUUUUGCUGGUAAUUUGCUGGUGCUCCCCGAGACAAGAAGCUCUGGGGAGAUGGUUCAGCUUACAGUGGGACUGCACCGCAAAUGUGUGGUGCUCCUGCAGCUGAGAUGGGUUUUGCUUCUUCUCCCUCACUGUUCAACAGGUGCUUCUGCCACACAGAAAUGUUGAGUGAGGAGCACCCAACAGUGCCUAAAAGGGCUGAUGCAUCCAUGCAGGCCAAGAGAGUGGAAAAAAUUGACAUUUCUCCCUUCUUGGGUGGCUGGAAAUGGAAGGCAACAGUCACUGCAGAUAACAGGCGAAUUACGAUUUCCAAAGGAAGUGCUUGGGAAGGUCGCAGAGCAAAAUCAGACAUUAUUUCCAUCACAGAGAGAGAUGAGAGAGAUGAAGAGGAUUCAACAUUUCCUUCCUUGGCUUAUUCCUUCUUCAAAAAAGCAGAAGCCAUUUUGCAUUUUUGUUUUUGUUUUUGUUUUUUUUUUUUUCACUAUUUAUUACAGUAAAUCCCUAAGACUAAAGUUUUGGAAAACAAACACUCCAUGACAAUCAUUCAUUUGGUUUCCCUGUGUUGUUGGCUAUGGUUUGAGGUGACAUCCAUCCUAGUGGCAGUCGUGUGGCCCUCCCCUUCUCUAGCUCAGUUCUGAUUGCAAUGCCACAUCAAGCAAACCCAAAGACCAGCAGCUUCCGUGAAAAUAUUCUCACUGACUUCAAAGGAUUUUGGAUCCAGACUCACACAGUGGGCAAACACUAGACAUACCAGGGCAACCAAAGCAACCAUUACUCACAGCUGCAGCUGUAGUCACACAAAAAGAUAGCAGAGACACAUACCUAAUGUGUUUAGGGUCGUAUUGCCCCAAACAAUGCAAUGGGUCUUUUGAAUGUGAAGGCUUUCAUUCCUCAUAGCAUCCCCUUACCUGAACCUAUUCUACCAGGAUCUGUUUACCAAAUGGUUUAUUCCAGGCUCAGACUGGGAUAAAUAAUAAGUAUCAUUAUUUAUAAUACACCUUGCCUCCUGAGUCAAUUGUAAACUCUCUGCCCACUUGUGUUGCUAUGCAUCCAUCAACUGAGGAGAGAUCCAAACAACAAAACACAGUAUCAGCGGGUUCCUGAUGUGCCUGUGCACCAACAAACAAGAGUUUCCUGCAUAGGUGUAUAUGUUGAACAUUCAGAAACAUAUAUCCAUAGACAUAUACAUAUAUUUAAUACAUACAUGUCUGUGUGCCUUGGGGCAUUUAAAAUAAUCUAUUAUGUAAAUCCUGUGGUUUGUAUCUUAUUACCAAAAUACAGGUCUAAAGCAGUUAUUGUGUCCUGCGAAGGAUCUUUAUUAUAAUAGUUCCACAGUGGCAUCCUUCAGAGAAGCUGCUGGAAUGACAACCUGAUGCCGAGACAGCGAGAAACAUUUGCAGCAAAUGAGUGACUCAGAAGCAGACCCUGUCCCUGUGCAAGCAGCACAGAAGGCUAUGGAGUCCUACCACUAUAUGCCAACUGAAGGUUCAGUCCCUGCUGUGCAGCAAAGGGACUGACAUGGGGCACUUCCCCUCUGCCUCGGCUAUAACUCAGCCCGGAGGAUAUAUCCCAUGCAGGAUCCUACAAAUGUUGCAUGCCCCUUUGUAAAAGGUGAUAAAUAGUGUGCAUUCAUCAGCUACAGAACGCAUUUCUGAUUUUGAGAGGUUCAAAAGGGAGGAAUUAUGGUAAACCUGGUGAUACACCAGUUGUAGCUCUUUUGUGGAAGAGGUGGCAGUAGCCACAUAGCAACUUUUAGACUCUGAGGAAUUUGGCUUAGCAUCCUGGUUGAGCUGAAAUGCAAUGGAUUCCUUUAUUUAUUUAUUUAUUUGUCUGUCUGUCUGUCUAUCUAUCUAUCUAUCUGUCUAUCUAUCUAUCUAUCUGUUUCCAGUUCUCUUUGAAUUUUCAGGGAACUUUUGGGGAGCAUUUUGGUCACUGGCAAGUAGAAAAAAGAAAAAAAAAAAAGUUAAAAACCAGUCACCCUUUCACUUUGUCACUCUGACGCAAAACCAUGGUAUCUCAAAACUUUCAUCUACUAUAUAGCUGUGGAUGCAGGGAUUUUAUGCAGUUUUUCCAUUCGGGGGAAAAUACGAGGUUGGUGGUCAGGGCUGCAUUACAGGGCAAUCUUAGGGAAUGAGAUAUGUGCAUCACAUCAUUGUACAUUUUGUAAUUUAUGAAGAGAGGGAAAAAGAAGACAGUAAACAUGAUGUGCAAAGACUAGGAUGUGUUGAGUGUUUUAAUGACUUUUUUUUUUAAAUUGUCCUGUAUUGUCUAAUAAGAGCUUCUACUGCUAGCAGGUGCUACCAAAUAUUACCAAUAAAGUUGCAAAGCAGUU